UCCCUGGUAGUCCAGUGGCUAAGACUCUGCACUCCCUAUGCAGGGGGCCCAGGUUCAACCCCUGGUCAGGGAC